rnacentral:pre_miRNA from 1 species
CUUGGAGGGGGCGGGUCCCUCAGCCUGGAUUGUGAGACGGUGCCGGCCAGGCCCAGGGACCCCACCAGUGCACA